CAUUCUUGCACACUAGUCAGUCAGCUCGCCCGCAAGGAUCCAAUGGAACAAAGACAAGCCUUAUCGAUUUAGGCGCUCUCGGCCAAUAGCGGCGCUCGGCACGGGUCACGUGACGCCCGGUCUCCCUCUCGCCUCUUUCCCACCGCGCUCUCUCACUCGGGUGAGCGCAGACAGGAAAGCGGGCGGCGGAGUGCCAGUCUGCGUCUGCCAGCUGUGGGACGAGUAGCUGGCCAGCGUUACCGGUGACUGACGGCUCUCCAGCCUUUGCUUUUAAACUGAAGAGAGACGAGGCGAAGCGGCAGCGGUGGUUCUUCUCCUCCGGCUCGCCGGGUUUAGGCUUCUCUAACUGAACGGACUUUCCAGAGCGCUGUUCUGCCGGAGGACUCGCCCUGACGGCGGCAGCGGCGGGCGUCGCGUGCGCAAACGACGGUUGAGGUUAGCGGGCCAGAAAGAGCAGGAGAGAAAAAGGACAUGAAUGCUAUUUCUGAAAAACAUUUGAGCUCUGUACUUUUGACACCAUGUGAUGAAACUAAAAAAAAGAACCUCUGAUAAAGUCACUGCGGUAUGAAUGGGAUGUCUCAGUUGCUAUAAUUUGGAAAUGGUUGGCUGGUCUAAUUCCACCAGGACAUCAGACCUGCAGCUAAAGAGAACAGCAGCGCAGUGAAUGCUGUCACUUGGAUUUAGGCCAGAUCUUUAGAUCUUCAGCCAACUCUCCUGCUCUGAGCCACAAAUACAUAGGCCAGUGGUUGACAUCUCUCCAGCACCUUUGGAGGCGUUUCAAAGCCACUGACUUCAGCUGUAUUUUCAGAGAGAACAUCUCGGUGCUCUCAGAUUUUGGUGGCUGUGGUUAGAAACUGGCACCAGUGAAAUGUGUGGAAAAGAAGCUACAGGAUGGUCAACAACAACAACAAAAAAAGUCAAGGAAAUUGGAUUACUCUUUCUCUCAACUACUAAGGUUAUAAUGGCACACAAAAUGAGCAUUCCACUGCAGUUUCGAUACAGUGGAAAGCAACCAACAGAAAGGGUCUGUUUUCACACAUUCAAAGACUGAGGAAUCUGAAUAUUCGGGUUAAGAAUAUACAUGGACGGAGAAACAAAAUGACUGAGGGUCUGUUUUCACACAUUCAAAGACUGAGGAAUCUGGAUAUUCGGAUAUAAGAAUAUACAUGGACGGAGAAACAAGAUGACUGAGGUUGCUAUGUGACACGCUUAGGCCUAUCUGCUUCCUCUCUGGGCCGCGUCCCAUUUCCGUCUGAUGGCGCAAAAAUAGCCGGGCCCUCUGCACCCUUCCAUGUUGUUUCUUCCUCUCUGCACACCAUGACAUCGAUCAAACCUGUUCCUAGGCUUCCUAUCUCUUCCUGAGGCUGAGAGAAUUGUAGAAAAGAGAAGUGGGAGGAUUUUUGUCCUCCCUUGAUUUUUUA